GCAAAAUGUAAAGUGAAAAGUUAUUAAGGCCAGGCCAGUUCGAAAAGACUGAUUUUUAAGCUUUCAGUCUGAAGAAAUUAUGUGGAAUUCUCUUAGACCAAAAUUAAUGUAGACUCAAAAGGGAACAAAAUAAAAAAAAAUACCAAACAGAAUAUUA